UAGCAUUAUAUGCUGAAUCCCUGAACAGGGAGCGGGAGAACCAAUAAAUUGGGGUGAAUCCGGAGGUAGUCUUCGGUAGGGUUAGCUCUUUCAAUCCGAAUCCGUCAGCUAAUUUCGCAAGCAUUAGGAAGAGAAAGU
rnacentral:sRNA from 2 species